rnacentral:lncRNA from 1 species
CACCUCCAUGAUACCAUCACAAUGGAGUCAAAACAUUUCAAAUAUAAAGGGAGCAGACCACCUCUUUGGAAUUAGCUGCAUAUUUAUAAGUAAUGGAUAAUGAUCAGAUCCAAUGUGAAGCAAAUGUUCAACUAAGAAGGGAAGCCUUUUUUUCAAACUUUAACAAUUUUAUGAUGAUCGCUGAUUUUGGCAGUACCAAAAUUUUUAUGAAUCCAUCCGAUGCA